GCAUCGGUGGUUUAGUGGUAAAAUUAGCCGUUGCCACGUGACCUAUUAGGUUACACAGUCUCGGCUAGCCCCGGGUUCGAUUCCCGGCCGAUGCA